rnacentral:rRNA from 1 species
UAACGAGCGAGACUCUGGCCUACUAAAUAGUUGGCACAUUGCCACUGUGUGCACAACUUCUUAGAGGGAUUUUCGGUGUUUUCAACCGCACGAAAUUGAGCAAUAACAGGUCUGUGAUGCCCUUAGAUGUCCGGGGCUGCACGCGCGCUACACUGGCAAACGCAACGUGCCUGUCCUGCCCCGAAAGGAGCGGGUAAACCCCUGAAAUUUUGCCGUGAUUGGGAUCGGGCAUUGCAACUAUUGUCCUUGAACGAGGAAUUCCUUGUAGGGGCGAGUCAUCAACUCGUCCCGAAUACGUCCCUGCCCUUUGUACACACCGCCCGUCGCUGCCCGGGACUGAGCCAUUUCAAGAAAACCGGGGAUUGAUGGCUUAACUGCCCCAUACGGGGCACGCUGGCCGUUGAAAACCGGCUUAAUUGCAAUGGUUUGAACCGGGCAAAAGUCGUAACAAGGUAGCUGUAGGUGAACCUGCUGCUGGAUCAUCA